UAGACAAAAACUCGCUGGUUGGAGUGAUUAGCUGUUAACUAAUUGUUUAUGGGAUCAAGGCCCAUUUGUCUAG
rnacentral:tRNA from 1 species